rnacentral:rRNA from 1 species
AUUGAACGCUGGCGGCAGGCCUAACACAUGCAAGUCGAGCGGAGCGGCGGACGGGUGAGUAAUGCCUAGGAAUCUGCCUGGUAGUGGGGGAUAACGUCCGGAAACGGGCGCUAAUACCGCAAACUAUCAGAUGAGCCUAGGUCGGAUUAGCUAGUUGGUGGGGUAAAGGUCUACCAGGGCGUCGAUCCGUAACUGGGCUGAGAGGAUGAUCAAUCACACUGGAACUGCGAACCGGGCCAGACCCCUUCGGGGGGCAGCAGGAGGGAAAUGUCGGAAAAGGGGAGAACGCUGAACGAAGACAGCCGCGGGGGGGAAGGAGGGGUUCGGAUCGGAAAGCGCUGUUGUGAAGGAAGCGGUACUUGACCAGAAAGGACCGGCUAACUACGUGCCAGCAGCCGCGGUAAUUC